rnacentral:lncRNA from 1 species
GGAGGUCGGGAAGAGGGUGGUCGAUGGUGAAACGGUCAUGGUGGCGUAUGAGCUCAGGCAGCCAGAAAAACUUCGAUUCCCGACCGUAGGAUGGACGGUGGAUGACGUGGAGUGGUCGAGGGUGUAGCUAGGAAGGUUGACUCGGUGGAGGCGUGGUGGAUUUGGUGGAGGUGGAGGGAUGGCAAUGGUGGAGGCCGACUGGUUUGGGCAAGCGCCGGCUUUGCUUAAAAGGCAAGGGGGGAGCGGGGGCAAUGACGAGAUUUCACGUGGCACCAGCCAUGGUGGCCAAUCCGACGACGAGCACCGCCGACGCUGGCCAACGGGAGGGCGUGCGUCACCGCUGGUUCUGCCCAAGGAACGGGAGGCGCCGGGAGAGAGGCCCAACGAAUUUUAAAACAUACAAAUUUCCCCACUCAAAUUACCUAGGUACAGGCACC